AUUCUGUUGUCUAAGGUGCUGUCAUAAGCAAGCCGCUUUUGUUGUAAAUAGAUAAAUAGUUCAUCCUUUUAUUAAUAGAAGAAUAGUCUAUAUUAAAAAUAAAAAAUGAAAUAAUCAUCACUGACUCAAGAGUAACAGAAGUUAAGAACUAUCGAACAGUUGAAAUACAACAACCUGGUGACACGUUUCAUGAAAGGAGCAUUGCAGUUAGAAUGCAAAUUACCUGUGAGUGUCAUCAAAUCGUUAAUAUUGUACAAAAAUAUGUGCACAACGGAAACAAAUAAAUUUAAAGUCUUUUUUUUAAAUGUUGCCAUUUUAUAAUCAUAUAUACCUAUUAUGGUCCCUAUUUAAACAUGUGCAUGGCUGUAAUUAAUACGCGUUAGUUUGUAAACAAAACUGUAUUGACCUUUUAAUUUUAGAAUAAUAGAGUUCAAAUAUAUCAAUAUUCAUGUUAUAACUUAUUGUCAUUUUGACGUAAAUGUUUUUAAACCAAUGGCAAGAUACGAUUUAUUUUUCAAUAAUCUCUGAUAUUUACUCAAUUGAUAUGGUAAAGUACCAACAGGUUCGAAUAAGAUCUUCCCAGCAUAUUAUCAUUGGUUUCCCUCCCCCUUACUUAUAUUCCCCUGAACUAUUUCAGUUAUAUUUUUAAUUAACGAUGCCAAGUACUUGUUGUUGUGUACCUGGAUGUCAUUUAAGAGGAGGACAUGCAUUUCCAAAUGACUUAAAAAGAAGGAAAAGUUGAAUCAACGCCAUGGCCCAUACGCAGAUUGGACGAGAACACGAUGAUAUCGUGGAGUCCAUCUCAAUCAGCUGUUGUUUGCAAGGCACGUUUUACUGAAAAAGACUACGUGCAGGAAACUAUUCAUGGGCGCAAACCCACCAUACAGAGACUUAAGUCUACUGCCAUUCCCAGCCUAUUUUCCUGGACCAAGCAAGAGACUGAAUCGUCCGCAAAAAGAAAAAUCAGGGCAGUUUCCUGUGAAAACAAAAGAACUAAACUUGAUGAAUAUUGUAGUAGAAAUCUAGAGGAAAGUUUUGAUUGUAAAGUUGGUUUUCCUGAAGAAGUCAUUCAUACUGCAGAAAGGAUUUAUGACUGUCCACCACCAACUGCCGAGCUAAUGUUGAGCUUCACAGAUGGGAUUACGCAAACACCAUCAAUGCCUAUGUUUUCAGCAGAGAAUUUUGAAAUGAAGACACGUGACACAGCCAUGCAUUUUUAUACCGGUUUAGAGUUGUAUACUAAAUUUUUAUUUGUUUUGACCACACUUGGUCCAGCAGCACAUUGUUUGAGAUACAUAUAUUUUCAAAUUGAUAGGGUGUCAGUUGAAAAUCAAUUUUUUUAUGACUUUGAUGAAAUUGAGGCAUCAUACAACCAACUUUGAACUGUCUAGAUUCUAGAUUGAAUCUAGUGUUAAGAAUAUUGUGUAUACAUGGAUUGUUUUUUUGUCUAAACAGUGGUGUGAGGCUAACACUUGGCCAUCUAGAUAGUGGUUUUGUCAGGUAUUUUUCACCAUCCAACUUGAAAUUAAAGUUUCCUACGACUUGGAUUAUUAUUGACAGCACAGAAUAUCCCGUGAUAAAACCUAAAGCUCCUAGAGCUCAGGCAACCUUUUCAUCAAAUAAAAACAGAAACACUGAAAAUUCUUGAAUUUUCGACACCUGGUGGUUUAGUCAACUAUGUCUCUAUGUCACAUGGUCCGGGUACACAGUUAUCGUCCUUUGAUUUUGUUGUCCACGAAUAUAGUCCCUAGUGUGGACAGUGUGUUACUUGUCGAUUUUUUUUCUACCCCUUCCAAAUUUAUUUCUCCCUGUUUUAUGACUCAAAUAGUAAGUAGGGGGGUGAAAUGACACUGUAAAAAAAUUGGGUCAUGAAUUUUAAAGUAAAGUAGUGAUUUGGUCCAGCUGAAAAAGGUUAAAAAUUAGCACUUCGGAAGCUGUCAAAAGAUUUCAAGACCCCCUCAACAUAAAAUUGUCCAUAUUUUGAGUUAGAGCCGAUGAAGUUUUCUAUAAUUUUGAUAUAAUUUGUCCCAAAAGUAGUACAACACACUGUAAAAAUAUUAUUGAGAAAGCGCAGGUGGGAUUUUUUUAAUUUUCAUUUAUUGUCUAAAAGAAAUGCACUACGAAAUAACUGUGUACUCGGACCUAAGAUAGAGCGAAUUAUUGGACUUGGCAAAACAUACAAAAUUCUAAUAAAUCCUAUGAAUGGAACUGAAACAAAACUUUCAUCUGAAAUAACAUUUAGUUGUUUUAUGUUGUGUAAUUUUAGAACUUGUAUUGUGCCAAAGGAUGCAUAAAUAAAAGUGACGCAAUGAA